UACGAAGGGGGCUAGCGUUGCUCGGAAUCACUGGGCGUAAAGCGCACGUAGGCGGAUCGUUAAGUCAGAGGUGAAAUCCUGGAGCUCAACUCCAGAACUGCCUUUGAUACUGAAGAUCUUGAGUUCGGGAGAGGUGAGUGGAACUGCGAGUGUAGAGGUGAAAUUCGUAGAUAUUCGCAAGAACACCAGUGGCGAAGGCGGCUCACUGGCCCGAUACUGACGCUGAGGCACGAAAGCGUGGGGAGCAAACAGG
rnacentral:rRNA from 1 species